rnacentral:ncRNA from 11 species
AACUGUUUGCAGAGGAAACUGA